CACAGCAGGCUCCUGAGCCUGGCGUGGCGACGCUCUAGCAGUCGUUACUCAGUGGUCGACCUGCGGGCCCCGCGGCCGGUCUGCAACUGUACUGUGCUUAGGCUAAUGGGUGAGCGCCAGCUGGCUCGCGCCCUGGAGGCAUGUGAUGGCCAAGCUCCCAAAGUUCGCAGUUUUUGAUCUGGAUUACACGCUCUGGCCUUUCUGGGUGGACACACACGUAGACCCUCCGUUCCACCGGAGCAGCGAUGGAGCUAUACGAGAUAGUCGAGGUCAGAGUGUCAGGCUGUACCUGGAGGUGCCUGCUGUUCUGGACCGAUUGCAAGGCCUUGGGGUGCCCGUCGCGGCCGCUUCACGGACAUUGACAAGGCAGAUGAACUGAUGGCUGACAUCUCAGAACAACACAACAUGGCCCAGCAAAUCUCAGAUGCUGUUUCUCAGCCUCUGGGCUUUGGAGAUGAUACUGAGGUGCCUACGGCAAGUGCUCACAGAACACUGGAGAAAGUGUGGGACUGGCCAGAAGGAAUGUCCUGGAGAGGCUCUUGGCACAGGUUGGGGAAGAAACUGCAAAGGUGUUAUGUUUGGAACUGGACAUGUCCAGUCUUAUCAGGUUUGUCAUCCUAUAUCUAGGAUGAAUUUUUGGGAGAAUUACAGAGGCUGUAUCAGGAGGAAUUGGCCUGGGAGUUGUUCAAUGUGGAGACAAGGAAGAACCACCCCCUGUCCAAUUGCCCAGUGUACCUUCUAUUCAUCUGUCUGCAGGGCCCAGUACCCAGGGCUAUGCAUUGUCUUCAGCACUUGUGUGAACCUGGAGAGAUUUGGGGUAGAAUGAUUCUUCAUUGCACAUUAGAGAAGGUCCCAGUAGAAGGCUACUGCUGUAGUCGUGCAGAUUGUUGACUGCAUACUGGUUUGGACUAAAGGGAGGGUGGCAGAAAUCAGAUUCCAGCCUGCGCUGCACACAGCAAGCUGCACAGCCUGCUUUAGGGCCCCAGAAGCUAUUAACUAGAGGGACCUAAUUUGCAUAAAGGUGCAGUGGGAAUGAACAACCAGCAAGCAGAAGACCACACCUUUAGGUCAUUUGCUGCAGAGAUAAUCCAAGCAUCCUCUAGGGGUCAGAGCAGGGCAUACCGGGAAAGUGCUGAGGCUCUAACAUGUCUUUGUUCUCUGGCUGUCCUCUCCCCAAAGCUCCCAAAGCAGGUAAAGACCAAGAAAAACUAAAGCAGGUGGCUGAAUGGCAUCCUCAGGAGUCUGAGCUUCUGUUCCUAAGGCUGCCUGCACUGGUCUCUUUGCCUCCAGUGCUGGUGCUGGGCUACUGAAGCAGAGCUGUUUUGAGUGUUUCCUGAAGUGGUGCCUUGACGCUGUCUGAGCAAAGGGCAUCUUACCCUCCUCUAUCUGACAAAACUCUGAAGUUAAAGGAUCAUGCUGUAGAAGGCUCCCCUGAGUGCCUUCUUCCCAGUAAAACUGGGUAGAUGCAUCCCACAUGUCUGUACUGUUUUUUCCACAUCUAAGACUUACAUCUUUUAUUUUUUAGUAUUUUCUUCGACCUGUUCUUUGAGCCUUCUUUCAAGCCUUGAAUAACAAUGAGACUAAUGGAAUGGGGUUGGAACAUAGCAACAAAUAGUUUUUACAGUAUUUCAGCCUGCGCACCUUUCACCUUGCCUGUACUAAGCUCGAGGCAACAGCCAUCCUUACUUCUCUGUGGAGCCAUCUCUGAGUCUUCCUCAUGGUGCUCCUUUAGUCCUGCCUCUCUCAAGACAGCCCUUGGUUUACUAUCUGUUUUCCUUCUUGCAAAGUACACUUUCAGGGGUAGGGAGAAAACACUUUCAGGGGCAGGGCAGGUAGCUGGGCUUUAUCCAGAAACCAUUCUUGAUUGCCUUUACCACUAAAAGCCUUGGUUAGAUCUCUGUGACUUCUAUGUAGGAAACUAGUGGUGUAGGACCUGACUCCCACAUUAUUUCCAAAAAGAUUAACUUGACACUAACAUGAAGGAGUGAGAAGGAACCAAGGCACUAAAUACACCCUGGCAGUCAUUGUGAAGACCAGCUGAUGCCAUCACUUUGGACUAUGGAAAAUAGAACCAUAGUCAGAAUGAAACCACCAGAGUGUCAGCCCACCCACUCACUGUACAUUAGAGAACAAAGGCUUUAAAAUGAGAUUUAUGUAAGUAGAGUUUGUAAAAUCCAAAACCAGGUGUUGAAUGCACUUGAACUACCAACUUGCCUGAACAGAUGCUAAGAUUACUGGGUACAAACUCAGAGCAGAAAUCCACCUAUGACCCUAGAAUUUUCCACUGAUUUCCUUUAGGAAACAAUAUCAUUGACCCUAUCUGAUAAAAGCAUGUGAAAAUUGGAUUUAUUUUGGUUGUCAAAGAUUUGUCAGCCCAAACUCUGCUUUGAUCCUCUCAGCCCCUUGCCUCAACCACUUGUAGCUCAUUCCACGGUUUGUGGAGGAAUCAGAGGAUUUGUGGUGUUGGGAGCCUGUUGCAUGACCUCAAGGAGUUUCAUCUCAUAGCUGAGUGCCUCAGGCUGAAAUUUGAGCACCCAGGGGUCCCUUAUGAUGUCCAGCAUGGUGGCACGCUUGGCAGCUUGGCAUAGCAUCUGGAGGAUCAGGUUCUAGGGCAGAGGAGAAAGAGGUCUUGACUGAGUUUGCCCUUGUUAUGUCACAUAGGCACUGAGCCCUAGGCCUACAAAUCAAGCAGGACACCCUCACACCACUCUGCUGAGAGGGAGUAUAGGCCUGGUUUUAUGCUUGAGGAAGAGCAAGGCAUUCCCUGCAAGAGAAGAAGAUUGCCCAGGAGGGCAAUCCCUUGCAUAAACCCCUUCUGGCCUAAAGGGACAGAAGCUGAAACAUGUUGAUCAAUCAUAUGUAAGGUGUAAAGACCAGGAAUUGGCAGGAAGCCCUCCCCACUCCUGCAGGAAAAGGGCUACAGUAUGAGAUGGCUUGGACAUUGUUGGAGGAGCCUUCCCCUGGGGACCAGAAGCCUAGGUAGAUCAUCCCUAAGAUUCUGCCCUCCUCAGAGAGCCAGCACCUUGCACUCUUGGGAGAUGGCAUAGUUAGGCGGGAAAGUGACCUCCUUCUGAGUCCCUCUGAGCAGCUUCUUGAGAUUGGUGUCAUCAAAGGGCAGAUGAGCCACCAUUAGAGUGUAGAGGAUGACACCCAUGCUCCAGGUGUCAGACAGGAAAGGAUUGUAGGGCAAGCCUCGUAAGAUCUCCGGACAGGAAUAAGCAAAGCUUCCACAGUAGGUCUGACUGAGGUGGGAAAAGAUACUCCCUCGGUGGCCAUCGCUCUGGCCAGUCUGCGUAGAAGACACCAUCUUGGCGAAGCCAAAGUCUGAAAUCUUCACAUUCUCCUGCUUGUCCAGCAACAGGUUUUCCAGCUUUAAAUCCCUGCCAGUAGCAGAAAAGGUGAUGAUCAGGUUGAGAAUGCUUACUGUGAGACCAGGCAGUGUAGGGCCUGGAAUCAGUGGCUAGAAGUGAGAAAAGGCAAAGUACAAGAGAGAUCCUAUUAUGACAGCAUAAGUGAAAGAGUCAUGGAACUAAGUGCAGAGUCAAAGUGGAGAUAUGAUGCUAGUGAACUACUUGUUCACUGCACUCAGAGUGUAUUUACAAGUGUCCUGAAUGAGAUGGUUUCAACUGGAGUAGAUAAAUGAGCCUCCACCUGGAACAGGGAAAUCAAGAGAAGGAAGACAAGAGGACAGAAAUUGCAGUGUGUAUAACCCCCUUUGAAGGCCCCAGGACCCCAGUCUGGGUAGUCACGCCCUCACCGGUGCACGAUGCCCUUGCUGUGCAGGUAGGCCAUGCCCAGGGUCAUCUGGGAGAACCACUUGCCAGCAAGGGGCUCAGAGCAGGCCCCAUAGCGCUGGAUCCAUUCAAGGACGUCACCACCCUGAGCCAGCUCCAAAAUGAUGUACACUCGAGAUGUGGUCUCAAUGGCCUGAUAGAAGCUGAUGAGGUACUUGUGCCGCAAGAUUUUCAUUACCUGACCCCAGAAGAGGCAACCAUCAAACCUGGGAAAGGAGAACCCUGGCUGUACUCCUAGCCCUCCAGUGUCUUCCCACUGUUAUUUUCUUCAAACUUUGCAACAGAAUCGGCCCCUCCUCUUCUAAGUGUGGGGGGCCAGUGGCCAAACCCUAUUUAUUCUUUUAGGGGGCUGGAGCUGCAUGUCUGUGUGAGAAAUGGGUUGAAAAUAUACUAAGGAAAUAUGUCUGCCUAGAGAGAUGUUCAGUUCUGGUGUAAGGCUUUUGGCUUCACAGACCCAACCAUACCGUUCUGAGAAUCCUCAAGUGUCCCAGUACUGAACUGCAAUUCCCCUCCAUCCUCACUACUGACCUGUAACUCUCGGGGCAGGAACUUGUUAAGGUAGUCGUCAGAGGCCUUCUUCUUAGAGAUGAUCUUGAUAGCCACCAUGACCUUCUGCUUUGUGUGGUAAGCCUCAUAGACGGUCCCAUAGGAGCCAGUGCCAAUGACCUUGCCCACCUUAUAAUUGUACUCUUCCAGGACAGAGCGAUUUGAAGUGGCAUUUGGCACUGCCUCUAGGCUGUCUCCCUUCCCCAUAGCAUCAGGCUUGUCAACAGAGGUGUGCUCUGCUGCUUAGGAGCCUGUGUCCUGAGAGGACAAUGCCUUGGGCCACAGAAAGCUAGGGUACCACAGUGAAGUUAGUGUCCAGGUGCUUGGCUGUACAGUCACACAAGGCUGGAUGCUGGGCUGAGCCCCACUAAGAGUUUGAAGGAGCAAAUAAGAGAAGCCUUUCUUUCUGUCUCCACUGGCUGUUGUUACUUCUUCCCCUUGGAUAUGGAACUCCACAAGGUCUCAAAUUCCACACACAUCACAAUCCCCAUCUCACCUACAAAUCAUCACCAAGUGUGAGCAUGAAGUGCAGUUUGGAAAAAUCCUCCUUCCCAGAGGAAUGUUCUGCAAUGUGGUGAGAUGUUACUGUGGAUCUUCUUUAUUUACUGAUUUGACUGAAUGCUUUGCAGGUCUGUACAAUGUAUAAAUACUAGGAUACAGUAAAACUGUAAGGUCAAGAGACCUAUGAUCCUAGAUUUUUUUUUGAUCCUAGACUUUAUAAUCCAGUAUGAAAUCACAAGUGUGUUUUAGCUUGUGUCUAGAUGUCCCUCCAAAUCCCUCAUAGGUUCAUUGAUGAUAUUGUCAGAGGUGUUUGCCUCUAGGGUGUGAGAUUGAGAGUAAACUUGUGAUAUACUGGAUUAGUGUUUAACUGGUUCUGAGUGUGGCUAAUGGGAAGGCCCACUCUGUAUGUGGGUGGUAUCACCCAAAGCUUAUAGCCUGGAUGGGAUUUAAAAAAAAAAAAAAAAAGAGGAUGGGGCUGGAGAUUUAGCUCAGCGGCAUAAGCACCUGCCUUGCAAGCAGGCGGUCGUGAGUUCGAUCCCCGGUACCAGAAAAAAAAAAAAAAGGAUGAUGCCUGCUUCCUGCCUGCCUUGCCAAGAACUGUGUUUCCUCUGCCAUGCUCUUCUGCCAUGCUGCCCUGUGUUGGAGUCAGCUAUCAACUGAAACCUGUACAUGCGGGUAUAUUUUUGCUGAGCAACAAAAAAGCAAAACUUUAAAAAGUAUUAAAGAAAAUGCAAGGUAUUAGAGCAUAUUCUAGUAAGUUAACUUUCACAUGCAUUCUGGCUUUCUGUGUCACUGAAUUUUUGUAUUUUCUUCAGCACUCCAGUUAGUCCUCCACUGAAGUUGAAUCUCUCUGUAUAUCCUAUUUUUUAAAAAUAUUCUUUCGGUUUGAGCCAAGUCCUUGCAUAGGAAAUACUGUACCACUAAGCCACAUCCCCACCCACCUCCAUCUAUACUUUAAUUGUAAAGUGGGUUUUAUCUGUGUCCAGAUUUUCUUACUAACGCAAAACUCAGAGCUAUUUACAGAGCUCCCAGUGAAAGUGAGCAACUCCUAGGGAAACACCUCCCUCAGCAAUGUGGACUUGUACUUUCUCACUAGGUUUUAGGCUUUUCUCAGUGAUAGGGAGAGAUUUAGGCAAUUCUCUCAUGGGAAUCUCCUCAUAUAGGAGCAAUACUGGGUACCAACACUGAUAAAACCAAUGAGUGGCAUUAUAAACAAGCUUCACAGAAUCCAAACAUCCUGAGAUGCACAGCAUAUGUUUUCUUUCAAGGCUAAGAUAGGGUUAAAGACCCAGCCUAGUUCUAAGCAUUUCUAAUGGUUGGGACAGUGCACAUUAAAGUCCUCCUGAAAAAUA